rnacentral:rRNA from 1 species
GACGAACGCUGGCGGCGUGCUUAACACAUGCAAGUCGAACGGAAAGGCCCUGCUUUUGUGGGGUGCUCGAGUGGCGAACGGGUGAGUAACCCGUGAGUAACCUGCCCUUGACUUUGGGAUAACUUCAGGAAACCGGGGCUAAUACCGGAUAGGUGCUCCUGCUGCAUGGUGGGGGUUGGAAAGUUUCGGUGGUUGGGGAUGGACUCGCGGCUUAUCAGCUUGUUGGUGGGGUAGUGGCUUACCAAGGCAUUGACGGGUAGCCGGCCUGAGAGGGUGACCGGCGACAUUGGGACUGCGAGACGGCCCAGACUCCUACGGGAGGCAGCAGGGGGGAGUAUUGCACAAUGGGCGGACGCCUGAUGCAGCAACGCCGCGUGCGGGAUGACGGGCUUCGAGUUGUAAACCGCUUUCGCCUGUGACGAAGCGUGAGUGACGGUAAUGGGUAAAGAAGCACCGGCUAACUACGUG